AUGGACGCAAGUCUGAACCAGCCAUGCCGCGUGGAGGAUGAAGGUCCUCUGGAUUGUAAACUUCUUUUAUUUGGGAAGAAACCCAUAGUUUCUACUGUGGUUGACGGUACCAGAUGAAUAAGCACCGGCUAACUCCGUGCCAGCAGCCGCGGUAAU
rnacentral:rRNA from 1 species